AGCCUGGAAGUGUGGGGGAAAAUAACAGAUAUGUUUGGAUGUUUUGGGGGUUACCAUGAGGCAAGAAAACAGGAUAUGGGUGGAGUGGUCAGAUUGGGAUAAACUUCAUAUCAGGUCAUGGUGACCCUCUCUCAUGGUAGCUUAAUUGCAAUAACAGGAAAUCUGGCUCCAAAAGAUAGUGGCAGAGAAAGUCACGAAGGGGACUUUCGCACGCACAUUUGGCUAAAACUAAGGUCCCUGACGUCAAUGGAGGACUAUAAAAGAUAUGUGGAUGGGCUGUUUUUUGGUUCUGUCUGUUCGAUUGCUCAUGAGCUAUUGUUCGAUGCUGUGAUCGGAAUAAAAACCCUGCCGAGAGGCUGCCAGCUUGAUUCUGUCUUCGUGUAGUUCAUUUCUGCACUUUUACACCGAGGUCAUCUUCUGAAUAAUUGGCAAGCUUCAGCCCAGAUUUUGCCGAGGCCCGGGGCGUUGGCCUCCCCACGCGAGUGAAAUCCACGUGCCGGCACACAAAAGGUAGGAGUAGUUUAUUUCUCUAUUAGAUGUGUGAUUUCACUGUGUGGUGAGACCAUCUUGUGUUUGGGCCUUCGCAAAAGAAAGAGUCUAGAAUCAAAGGAAGCAGAGUCGGGCGGAGUCUCUCGCGUGUUAUUCAUGUAUACAUGAAGGCUGCUCCAAAGUGUGUGGAAAAUUGUGAGACAGACAAAUUAACCAUUGGCGUCAAAGCAGCUGAAAAUCUUGGCCAAGUGUCUGUUGACUUGUGUCUUACGGGGAUAGUAGGAGUAAAGCGAACAGGCCUCGAGCUUAAUACUUACGGGGGCAGAGAAGUAUCGCUAACAGAUCCCGAGAACAGUGAUCAGCAGAGCAGAUCUGUGUUGUGGGUGAACAAGAUGCCGGGAAGUCAAAUCCUAGGGGCAUGGAGUUCACGGAGCGCGAUUGGAUAAUUGGCCGGCAGCCAAGCCCUGGCAGUUGUGUAAAAGUUUAACCCGAUGAGGUUGGACAGACCUCAGAGAUACUGCUCUGCGGAGCCCGGGGAAGUCUGAAAAGGCGAGGAACCUGGACAGACCACCCCAUGUUAAGUGCUGCAAUCUGGGGCGGACCUUUUACUGAGCUCGAAAGGCAGAAACCCUGCAGGUUGCAGACUUAUCUAAUAUAAAUAACGUGGAGAAAUCCACUAGGAAUUAUGGAACAGAUUUAGAUGUGAUUGACUGGACUGUAAACGAAAGUUCAAUCACACUUGCUGGGAAAUCCCGCUACAUGUCAGGUCUGUCGCUAAGUAUGGGCACAUUUUAACGUAUACCCACAAAAACUUAUAGAUGAAACGAACGCAUUUCUCAUAAUAAAUGACGGGAAAUAAAGAAAACAAACAAAACUGUAAUCUGAGAACGGAAAUCAAUCAAACGGAACAUUGGACAUUGGAGGUAUUGAAAAUUUAUAAGGUAGGAGUUGUUUGAUCCACAAUUUCCUUCCAAAUUGACACCACGAAAGGCACGGAUGAUCAACGUGUUAUCCUUAUGAGUCAGCCAACUAAAUAGAAUACCUUCAAAAAAUCACCAAAAAAGACUAAAUAAAAGUAUAUUUGACGAAUAAAAUAUAAACACCCCAAAAGUGUGCGUGAGGACCGGUCCGUGUGAGAGUGAUCGCUUUUUUCCUUUCUCUCCCUCUCCUCGCACUCCGCCGAGGGUGUGUGUGUGUGAGGGUGUGUGUGUGUUGUGUGUGUGCAUGGUGCAAACUAAUAUGUAAAUAAUGGUAAAUGUUUAACAAGGUGGUUACAGGAAUCCUAUAAGCAAGCUAAGAUUAACUGUGUUGUCACGGCUCUGUAUAUGGUGCCUAAAGUUGGGAGAAUUGUGACACAAAACAGACUGUUGGUGGGGUUGGACUUUUUGGAUUGUGUGCGUAAGGUUGUUGGUGAAGCAGAGUUUGGUGUUGGUACAGUAGUCUGAGAAAGGUUGAGCAAAGACGCAGUUAGAGUGUGUAAGCUGAAGCAGUUGUGUGUUGUGUAGUAGGGUGUGGCAGAGAGACAGAAACAGGAGAAGUUGACAGUCCGAGAGUCAGACUGAGACUGAGAGAAGUAGGAAGUAAAAGGGGAAGUGAGGUCAAUUCCGCUCUCACUCAGCCCUGAACGAGCCCCCACCUUUGCGUGAGCCAAAAUAAAGCUCCCUCUCUCCCCCGCUACUACUCUCAUUCAGUGAGAAGCCCCCCCCCACACAUUUUUUGGGAUCCAAGACAUACAGCCCUCACUCGGUGAGGAGCCCCCACCUUUGUGAGAGCUCCCCCGCCCUUCUCUCCCCUAAAAGUCUGAAGACCUGGCGAACCUGUUUUUUUCUUCUUCCUUUCCCUCGGCAAGCUGAAUAUUAAAGCUAUCAUAUCUGCAGUACAAAUAUAUAAACAUUGUGUGCAUUUUAAAACACUCAUAGCAUUAUUUUACAAAUAUAAACAUUGGGUAAACCUGUGACAUAAUUUAGCCAGAAUUCGUUUCGGGGGACAAGGGACCAUGGUUCUGCGAACUUCACAUGGGAUAAGGACACUCUGUGGCCACAAAAAGAAAAAGGUAGGAGAUUUCCUAAAAUUUGGUUGAGAGUUCUUUUCCCUGUGAGGUGGUGCGGACUACUGCUCUCUGUCCUCUUCGAAUCAGUUGGUUGUGUCAGACCGCCUCACGCUGCUACAUGCGUGAGACUAUGUGAGAAGCUAUAGGCUGGGUGCAGGAAAGCACUGGCCAGUAGCGUGGGGAGACAGCCGGGCCCGGGUUGUGAUGUGUUUUUUAGGCUGAAUGCCUGGUGAUAAAAGAUUCUGGUUAAUUUUUGGGAUAACAAGGGGAGUGGCAGGCACGAGUGUGUCUGUCCAUUGUUGAACUGUGAGUAUGGGCAAUUUUUUGUUUUAUGAGCUCUGACAGAUACAGAUUGGCUUGAUGAGCAGGAGAUAGAAAAAGAGGUCAAUAAGGGUAGGCCGAAAAGCCUAUUCAGGGAUCCCAAUUGAACAAGCACGUCCCAUAUCUCCUGACCGAUUGUAGAAGAAUCACAUAAAUUGGAAAAAUCACACAAAUUGGAAAAAUUGAAGAAAUCAAAACAAGAAUUAAAAUAGAAGACUGCUGACUGACUCCAGUGACUGACUUUGACUUCAAACACGUGUGAAAGGGUAUACCAUUGUGUGAUGAAUAAGUGAAGUGUGUGGGUUGAUUGGAUGGUUGUGUGUGUCUGUUUUGUUCUGUGUCAACUAAGUUCUCUGGCAGAACUGUUCACAGUCAGACUCUGCACCUGUGUGUGUGUUAUGUUAGUCAAAGAUUGCUGUGUUCCACACUUGUGUUUAUUUCAUAGUUGUUUAUGUGAAUACUGUGCUCAUUGCGGUCAUGUUAUCAGUUGAGACAUAGAAGGUUAAAUACUCCUGGGAAAGAGGUUCUGUUCCCAGUACCAUGAUGAACACUCCUGAUAUAAAGGUUUUAGCUUAUGCUUAAAUAUUAUGAUGGUUUUUUGUUGUGAACACGUCUUAUGCUACUUAACAAAUUUUCUGUGUUAAAGCUGCUGAAAUAAUGUUUGUAAAAGCAUAAAAGAUACAAAAAGGGAAAAAGCAAUGAGGUACCACAAGUGCAAAACUUCUAAAAAACUUCAAAUCUAAGAGUUGCUUCUAUACAUCUGCUGUUUUUGCCAGAACACUGUGUUUUUAAAAUAUUAUUGAAGCUGUUAAUAUCAAUACUGACUAUUGCUAUAGAACUGCAGUUGAGGCAAAAGCUUUAUACUGUGUAUUUUUGGGGAAUUUUACAAAACUGCUGAUCAAGUUUUAAUGUGUGUGCUCAGUUGAAUAAUAAAGUUUACAAAAAGCACGACCAGAAAGGGAAGAUUAGAUACACGUUGGUAGGGUGUAAAUAUACUGAACACUUAAAUGAUAUCCAAAAACUUACAAAGAAAUGGGAACAUUGAAUCAAGGGGUUUGAAUCUUUAUGACCUAGGGGAGGCACAUCUAAUGUGGCUGUGUGUGAGGAUUUGGAGCAGCGAAUCUAAGACCAUAAACAUAAAGAAAAGUAAAACACGCAAAAACAAGAAGAUAUGGAACUAAAAGGACCGGACAUGUUUAACUCAGCACUUAGAUUUUGGUCCUUUUUAUACUUUAGAGUCCAAUUUUAGAUUUUAAGUCAUACUGGGACCUUUUUGAACCUGAUUUUAACGUUCUUCUUGUGUAUUUGCUCUUUAAAUGCAUUACUUUUCUCUUUGUAAAUCAUGCUCUGAUCUUCUGAACUAUUAAAUAAGAAUAGAAUAAAAACUAAAUUUUUUCUAUCUUAGGUUGCCUUUAAAAUUAUUUAUUUAUUAUUAUUAUUAGUUUAUCUCUUUUGAAUUUCCAAAUGAUUUAAAAUCAUUGCUAUUUUUUCUCCCAUAUGUUUUGAAAAGGAAAUUGACAGUUUUAGUGAAAUUUUGAUCCUGUUUGACCCUGAGGCUAGACUUAAAUCCAGAUUAUGCCCUUUGCUGUGGUUGAGUUUGACACCCCUGGCCUAGAUUAUGUUCACUUGGAAAUGCACUGAUAGUAUGUUUUCAAUCUUAAUAAAUGGCACACAGGCUAGCUAUGUGCUGUGGAAAACCACACACCUUGUUGGGCUGGUUGCCAGACUACCACAAACUGAACAAGGGGCAGGGAGAUGGAUACGAGUUUUUGAGGAUGAACUGUAGGAAAAUGUUGACUACACCAGACAUGAAAGCACUCUUGGCUAAACUGCUGGGAACUAAGACGAUGGAGGAGUUUCUGCGCAAGGCAAAACAAGGUUGAAUGACGAAUCCCAUGACUGAUGGGAGUGAGUUCAAUGCAUAUUGUGAUGUGAGGUGGAGCGGAAGUUGAAACAGCCACCUCUAAGGGGACACGGCAAAAGAGACCCAGCGAUGCAGACCGUGCAGACGCUAACUGCGGUAAAACCUGUGACAGUAACCUGUUUAAUCACCUGUUGUGAAUGUUUAUCCUCAGACAGAACCCUGCUCCAUAGAGAGGAUAUAUCCCGGCAGGGGGAGAGAGUGGAAUUCUGACGGACGUGUGACGUCUAAAGACCUGCUGGGGAUGGGAUCAUACCAGACAUUUUUGACAACUGCCCAGACCAGGGACGUCUCUGGCUGGAUCGGUGGUGGGGGGCCCCAGCCCAGACAAUGUGAAAGUGGUGGCUUACUACAGUGUGAUUUUUGUGGAUGAUGGAAAAAGUUAGUUGUUAGUUUUAAUUUUAACCCUGUUGACCUUAUAGACCGAAAGGACCUAUGUAGAAGUAACAUUCAAAUUUGGUGCUCACCGCGAGGUGUGUAAGUAGACAGUUAUGGUUUAUAGUUUUAAGUAAAUAUCGUGACAUUAGCAUUGUAACAUCCCUGUUCUGUUAGUUUAAUACUGAUAAAUCUAAAUGCAGCUGUGCUGAAUCCACAUACACUCCUCACAGAUGUGCCACCUAAUGUAAAAGUAAUAGGAAGCUAUCAGGGGUCAAUAAGGCCACAGAAAAUGGUUUAGAGUCAAAUAACUAGUUUUUGUACCAGUAGUAUUAACAAACAAACUAGGAUCUGACUUUCACAGUGAUUCACACUGUGAAAGGGGGGAGAUGAUGAGACAAUUAAAACGACAUUCUUAGAAUAUGCUGACGAGAGCUGAUAAACUCUUGGGUCAUUGUGAUAUGCGUUUUGUUAGAUGAAUUGAAGAGAACAAUAAAACGGAAGUGAGACACUUUUCCAGUUCCAGAGAGACGGUUUUAGACAUCUAUUUAUAGGCAAUGUGGACAUGAUUAAAACUGCCAAGGCAUAUGUUACAUGUUUGUAAUGAUGACGGGGUCAGUCGAUGGAUAGAAGCAACACCAUCAAAAGAUCUUGGAGUCAAAAUAAAUCUGUCAUUGCAUGAUUUGGUACAUCAUUUUGGGGAAGAAAGUUAAUCUCUCAAGUAAAUAUCUGAUCAGAGAAGUUGCACUAACACUAACCUAUAGGAAGAUGCUUUGCUACUUGCGCUUAUGAGCUUUCACAAUCAAAAGCACUGAGAUAAAUCUUCCACUGCAUGAUUGACUAACUUACAAAGCUAUGCUUUACUGCGGCUAAAUAAUUAAGGUUUUCGCUUGAGCAGCUGGAAAUUAGUGAAUUAAAUAGAUGAGGCAUCUAACUACGAUGCAAAGAUCUAUCGGUUAGCAGGAGGAGUGCCAAAAUCUGAUCCCAGUCAAGAGGUGGAGGCCAGUCGAGCCAGAGCACCAGGUGUACAUCACCGUCCUUUGAGGAGGGUGGCAAAAAGAACGAGGAGAAGACCUGAGCACUUUGGUCCUGGUGAACUCUACUUCAGUGCAGGAAGUGGCACGAACCACGACGGGAAGGACCGUACACGGUGGUGCGAGCUACUCCCACAGCAGUCCUGGUCGAAAGGAGCGGGACGUGGUAUCACCUGUCACGCUGCACGAAGGUUCCAGGCAAAACCAAGGGCGGUAUUGAGUUGAAAAACAAAGAUGAAAAACAUGACAUUGUGGUGUGUGCUGGUGGUAAUGAACUCUCUUCUAUGGAUGCCUGUAGAAGCAGUGGAGCUAGAGACUCAAAGGGGAAAACAGAGCACCCCGGGGACCAGAGCCACGCCAGAGACCAACCCGCACGACAGAGGAGACAGAGCAUCUGAAUCAGAUGAGUAUGAUGCAACCACACAGACACCAAUCCAUGACGUGCUAAACUCUGAGCCAGCACUCUCAGCUGAGCUCAAACACAUAAACAUUCCAUACCAAAACAUAACUGUUAACUGUAAAAUUACGUGGGUAUUGUCAUGGUUUCCUGAAGCUAAUAUGAGCGAACCGUUCUUAACCAGACCUGUUUGGUUUGAAAAUCCAGAGCAAACAUUAGAUCAAACAUGUGAAAACAUAACUAUGACCAGACCGAGUAUGCAUUUCUUUCGCAAGUCAAACUGUUGCAGUAGCUGGCAGUUACUGGAUGUGUGGAGACAACAUUGCGCGUAACACACUUCCACCAAAAUGGAUUGGACUCUGUACAUUAGUGCGAAUGAAAGUGUCAGUUGUUGUGUGUAUGACGGCGGCGAGGAGAUCCUUAAAAUCCAGGAAGAAACAGCCAAAUUGAGCCGCCAUAAAAGGCAGAUUGACGAAAAGGUGUACAUCAAUAGUAUAGGAGUGCCAAUAGGAAUUCCAGAGGAGUUUAAAGCUCAGGAUGAGAUUAGAGUAGGUCUAGAGUCGAUUCUCCCUUGGAUCACCACUAAUAAAAAUGUCCAAUGGAUAAAUUACAUUUAUUACAACCAACAGAGGUUUGUUAAUGCGACAUCUGAGAUCCUGAGCGCUCUCGGUAUUCAAUUACACGCAGCAAGUAUAAUGGCCCAACAAAAUAGACAGGUUUUGAAUUGGCUGACAGCGGAUAGGGGAGGAGUAUGUCACAUGUUCGGGAAACAUUGUUGUACCUUUAUUCCAAAUAACACAGCCCCUGAUGGUAUAUUUUCUGUGGCAAUGGGGAAGCUUACAGAACUCAGAGUUGAGCUCAGGGAGAGUGCGGGCAAGGGGGGACUGUCAUGGGAUUGGUUAGACCAAAUUUUAGGAAAAUGGGGAGCCGUUUGGGCUAAGAUAGGACUCAGUGCAUUAGCAGUCCUAAUUCUAAUUUCCUUUUUGACAUGUUGCAUCAUCCCCAUCCUGAGGAGGCAGUGUCUGCGGGCUCUGGACAGACAGAUGAUUGUGGCGACUGGUCUCCAAAAAGCUCAAAUGUUGGACUUGCUGACGCCGUCCCAAAUGGCACAACUCUGCUUGGACGACAGCAAGGCGGGAAACGGGGACUAUACGGACUUGUACCCGAACCCUGCCUGUGUGGGUGACUAUGAUGAGGACGAACUGAGUCAAGUGUAAGGUAAACAAGAAGCAGAGGUGCAGCAGCAGCGAGCGAGCAAAAGGAAAAGCAAAUGGGACGGCGGAGCAAAUGGACUAUCAUAUCACUACACGCAUAUUCUGUUACUAUCCAGGUGUAUUCUGCAUAAUGGACUAUCAUACCAAUACACACAUAUCCUGCAGUUAUCCAUGUGUACUCUGCAUACUCACAUCAUUUACACAUACCCAUUCCAGGUAAAUGGAAACAGGUAAAGGAAAUGGUUAAUCAUUUUUUGAGCAAUAAAACAUGUGGUUGAUUGUCAUGUAGAGUGGGUCAGUGAAAAGCUGUUAAGAUUUAGAAGGUUCACGGUAAAGGUCGCCAGCGGGAGGGGCCGCAGGGGAAUUUCCUGCUCAAAGCAGCCAGCAGGUUUUCGCCCCUGCCAGAUGUGAACCGAGGGAUCUAAGUGUUGUAUUUGUGAAAAUGUAACAUUCGUGAUCACAAGCAUGAGUUGGAUUGGUUUGAAAACAUACAUAUGCAUCUGUAAUCAAUCAAGUAGUACCAUAUCACAUAACGCUGUCAUAACUCAUUCAUGUAACGUAACUAAGGCUAAGACAAGAUAAGUGUGAAUCUCCAACGGCGUCAGUGAACUUGGUUAAUCUUGAAAAGAUUCAAAGGGGGGAUAUGUGGGGGAAAAUAACAGAUAUGUUUGGAUGUUUUGGGGGUUACCAUGAGGCAAGAAAACAGGAUAUGGGUGGAGUGGUCAGAUUGGGAUAAACUUCAUAUCAGGUCAUGGUGACCCUCUCUCAUGGUAGCUUAAUUGCAAUAACAGGAAAUCUGGCUCCAAAAGAUAGUGGCAGAGAAAGUCACGAAGGGGACUUUCGCACGCACAUUUGGCUAAAACUAAGGUCCCUGACGUCAAUGGAGGACUAUAAAAGAUAUGUGGAUUGGCUGUUUUUUGGUUCUGUCUGUUCGAUUGCUCAUGAGCUAUUGUUCGAUGCUGUGAUCGGAAUAAAAACCCCGCCGAGAGGCUGCCAGCU
rnacentral:lncRNA from 1 species